GAGGUGCCACCAUUAAUCAGACCUGCUGAGCUGGGCAACCAGGCAUGGCUGUUGACAGGCAUCUUGUUGAGCAGCACCCAAGCGGUCUCCGAGGAUACACGGAAGCAAAUGGGCCUGCAAAGCUUUGGCCGGGGGACAAACCUGUUGCUCCACUUGGGAACUGGAAGAUGGAGACCCCAAGACAGUGUAGAAAGCUGGCUGCUGGAUUCCUGGGCAGGAGGUCUUUUGGCUACAGGUGAACGCUUUUCCUGAAGGUGUCAGCUCUUCGAUGUGAAGAUCCAGCAUUACUUCUCAGGGCUGUGUCGCAGGAAAAU